AACGAACGCUGGCGGCAUGCCUAACACAUGCAAGUCGAACGUGACCUUCGGGUCUAGUGGCGCACGGGUGCGUUACGCGCGGGAAUCUGCCCUUGGGUUCGGAAUAACAGUUAGAAAUGACUGCUAAUACCGGAUAAUGACGUAAGUCCAAAGAUUUAUCGCCCAAGGAUGAGCCAGUGUAGGAUUAGCUUGUUGGUGAGGUAAAGGCUCACCAAGGCUACGAGCCUUAGCUGGUCUGAGAGGAUGAUCAGCCACACUGGGACUGAGACACGGCCCAGAAUCCUACGGGAGGCAGCAGUGGGGAAUAUUGGACAAUGGGCGAAAGCCUGAUCCAGCAAUGCCGCGUGAGUGAUGAAGGCCUUAGGGUUGUAAAGCUCUUUUACCCGGGAUGAUAAUGACAGUACCGGGAGAAUAAGCCCCGGCUAACUCCGUGCCAGCAGCCGCGGUAACAC
rnacentral:rRNA from 1 species